rnacentral:piRNA from 1 species
UGCUCUGCCUGUUAUUGAUAU